rnacentral:lncRNA from 1 species
GAGGUCGGAAAGUGGGCUGACCUUGAAGUGGAGGUUGAUUUUGGAGCUGAGCUUGGGCUGGAGGUUGUGGUUGGAAAGGAGGCUGGGGUUGGGAUGGCGGUUGUGGUUGGAAAGGAGGCUGGGGUUGGGAUGGAGGCUGUGGUUGGAAAGGAGGCUGGGCUUGGGCAAGAGAUAGUACCUGUUGAGCCCAGGGUGCAACGUAACCGUUGUAAGGAUUGUUACCUUGGUUCACAGG